GAAAAAUAAGCUAAUCACUAAAGCUUUCGGAUUCAUAAUCCAAAUAUAGAUCUAAAUCUUUUUUCUAA
rnacentral:tRNA from 1 species